CGCAUGUUCGGGCCGGGCCGGGCCCCGCCGACGGACCGCCCACACAGGUGAGCGGUUGCGGCGGCGCCGCCCCGGGCGGAGCGAGGACUGGUCGCGAGGCGCCGCGAGCAGAAUGCAACAGAAAGAGACAAGAGAGCCACAUAUUUCUGAAUAUCCGCAUUUUAAGGAAGGUGACACAUUCAAGACAGAUUUGAUGCUUCAAAAAUCCUUGGUCUGUGAAUAAUCUUAAUUCCAUGGUUCAACCACUAGACAAACCAACAUAUUCUGCACACAACAAAAACUAUAUUGUGCUGCUAGUUCAGCAGAACCAGAGAAGAGUGUACUUACUGCCAACAAAAGGGUCGGACUGGAAGAACUCUAAGCUUGUUUCAGAAACUAUAUCAGGCAACGGAUGAGAUUCAGCAUCAAAUGGA